GCCGUGUGACAGAACCAUCUGUCUGUUUAUUGCUGAUGGAUUAGUCUAUUUUGCCCUGUUCGUGUAAAUGGCUGGUUCCUAUAGCCCAGCCAUACGAAUGACCGUUUUCCUGAACAAAACUACCGAACGGAUGGCCACCCAGAAAAGAAGUGUGCUGCUGGUUAACCUAUUGAUCCCAAUUAGAACGUUGUGGUUAACCACAGACACUUCUCAAUUAAAC